CCUACGGGUUGCAGCAGCGGGGAAUAUUGGACAAUGGGCGAAAGCCUGAUCCAGCAAUGCCGCGUGUGUGAAGAAGGUCUUCGGAUUGUAAAGCACUUUCGACGGGGACGAUGAUGACGGUACCCGUUGAAGAAGCCCGGCUAACUUCGUGCCAGCAGCCGCGGUAAUACGAAGGGGGCUAGCGUUGCUCGGAAUGACUGGGCGUAAAGGGCGCGUAGGCGGUUUAUGCAGUCAGAUGUGAAAUCCACGGGCUUAACCUGGGAACUGCAUUUGAGACGCAUAGACUAGAGGUCGAGAGAGGGUUGUGGAAUUCCCAGUGUAGAGGUGAAAUUCGUAGAUAUUGGGAAGAACACCGGUGGCGAAGGCGGCAACCUGGCUCGAUACUGACGCUGAGGCGCGAAAGCGUGGGGAGUAAGCAAGAUUAGAUACCCCCGUAGUC
rnacentral:rRNA from 1 species